AUACGUAGGGUGCAAGCGUUAAUCGGAAUUACUGGGCGUAAAGCGUGCGCAGGCGGUUUUGUAAGACAGUGGUGAAAUACCCGGGCUCAACCUGGGAACUGCCAUUGUGACUGCAAGGCUGGAGUGCGGCAGAGGGGGAUGGAAUUCCGCGUGUAGCAGUGAAAUGCGUAGAUAUGCGGAGGAACAACGAUGGCGAAGGCAAUCCCCUGGGCCUGCACUGACGCUCAUGCACGAAAGCGUAUGGAGCAAACAGGAUUAGAUACCCUGGUAGUCCACGCCCUAAACGAUGUCAACUGGUUGUUGGGGAUUUAUUUUCUCAGUAACGAAGCUAACGCGUGAAGUUGACCGCCUGGGGAGUACGGCCGCAAGGUUAAAGCUCAAAUGAAUUGACGGGG
rnacentral:rRNA from 1 species